AGGAUGAACGCUGGCGGCGUGCCUAAUACAUGCAAGUCGAGCGGUAAGGCCACUUCGGUGGUACACGAGCGGCGGACGGCUGAGUAACACGUAGGAACGUACCCCAAACUGAGGCAUAAGCACCAGAAAUGGUGUCUAAUACCGCAUGUGCUCUUCGGAGUAAAGCUACGGCGGUUUGGGAACGGCCUGCGCAUGAUUAGCUUGUUGGUGAGGUAAUAGCUCACCAAGGCGACGAUCAUUAGCUGGUCUGAGAGGAUGACCAGCCAGACUGGGACUGAGAACGGCCCAGACUCCUACGGGAGGCAGCAGUAGGGAAUUUUCCACAAUGGGCGAAAGCCUGAUGGAGCAACGCCGCGUGCAGGAUGAAGGCCUUCGGGUCGUAAACUGCUUUUAUCUGUGAAGAUUAUGACGGUAGCAGAUGAAUAAGGAUCGGCUAACUCCGUGCCAGCAGCCGCGGU
rnacentral:rRNA from 1 species